rnacentral:rRNA from 1 species
CCUACGGGAGGCAGCAGUGGGGAAUAUUGCGCAAUGGGCGAAAGCCUGAAGCAGUGACGCCGCGUGAGGGAUGAAGGUCUUCGGAUCGGUAACCUCUUUCAGCAGGGAAGAACGGUCACUUUGUUAAUCAGCAGUGAAUUGACGGUACCUGCAAAGGAAGCACCGGCUAACUCCGUGCCAGCAGCCGCGGUAAUACGGAGGGUGCGAGCGUUAAUCGGAAUUACUGUGCGUAAAGGGCUCGUAGGAGGUAUGUCAAGUCAAGGGUGAAAUCCCCGCGCGCAACGUGGGAACUGCCUUUGAAACUGGCAAACUGGAGUGUGUGAGAGGUUAGUGGAAUUCGAGGUGUAGGAGUGAAAUCCGUAGAUAUCUGGAAGAACAUCAGUGGCGAAGGCGACUAUCUGGCACAUAACUGACGCUGAGGAGCGAAAGCGUGGGUAGCGAACAGGAUUAGAUACCCGGGUAGUC